AAUUUGCAGUGGCGGUAAAGUUAUUUAUACUCCUUCGUUUUGGUACUGAAAGAUGAGACAACAUGUCAUUUGAAAGCAUUUGAACGCAAAACAUGGUGCAAGUCAACAAGAAAGUGGAUCAGGUAAUCCAAGCACUUGAAAACCAUCAACUAUUUUCUGUAAAAAAGCAACUAAACGGUAGUCUUGAUAUUAGUACACUUGAUCAAUUGCAAAAUAAAAGCCUUUCUCUCAUG